rnacentral:rRNA from 1 species
UGAGGAAUAUUGGUCAAUGGACGAAAGUCUGAACCAGCCAAGCCGCGUGAAGGAUGAAGGCGUUCUGCGUUGUAAACUUCUUUUAUCUGAGAAGAAACCACCGAUUUCUAUUGGUGUUGACGGUAUCAGAUGAAUAAGCACCGGCUAACUCCGUGCCAGCAGCCGCGGUAAUAAUCA